CACGUAGUUAGCCGGUGCUUUUUCUGCAGGUACCGUCACUUGCGCUUCUUCCCUACUAAAAAGAGGUUUACAACCCGAAGGCCGUCAUCCCUCACGCGGCGUUGCUGCAUCAGGCUUGCGCCCAUUGUGCAAUAUUCCCCACUGCUGCCUCCCGUAGGAGUCUGGGCCGUGUCUCAGUCCCAGUGUGGCCGGUCACCCUCUCAGGCCGGCUACCCGUCGUCGCCAUGGUGAGCCAUUACCUCACCAUCUAGCUGAUAGGCCGCGAGUCCAUCCCGAACCGAAAUUCUUUCCACCUACACACCAUGCGGUGAUAGGACAUAUCCAGUAUUAGACGCCGUUUCCAGCGCUUAUCCCAGAGUUCGGGGCAGGUUACUCACGUGUUACUCACCCGUUCGCCACUCAUCCACCCCCAGCAAGCUGGGAGCUUCAGCGUUCGACUUGCAUGUGUUAAGCACGCCGCCAGCGUCGUCUCGUGCCGACGACGUCGAAACUACUACUAC
rnacentral:rRNA from 1 species